AUGACAACGCCCCCAGGGAGGAGACGGCGCCAAAAAGCGUCGCCGUUGCCCGCAGCCGCAGCCGCGCUGGAUUUCUCCUUGGCCAUGUCCAUCAACUUCCGGAGCACAGCAAACUGGAAGGGAGGGCAAAGUUGCCACCUUGGGCCAUCACUGUGGAGAUGGGGGAGCCGGAUGCCGUCGCGCCGCCAACCGGCGAGUCCACCGCAGCCCCCGGUCGGGGAAGACCAGGGCCUGCAUCCACUCGCUACAGCCCCGCCGCCCUCACGGCCAGGAAAUGCAGCGCCACCCGGAGACCGCAGCACAACCAGCCAUGAUGCCCGGCCAUCCACCUCUUCGCGCCUCCGCCCCGGGAAGAGGAGGGCGAGUCCAUCGCGGCCUGGGGCCGCCGCCCCAGCGUACCAUCCCCGGAGCACCGGCAGGAUCCCCGGCGCCGCCCGCAGCCCCGGCGGCCAGAUCCGGCCGAGCCAGAGCAGGCCGACCUGGCGGCCACGUGCAGCCCUUUGCGCCAGCAGCCGUGCUGCCAGCCCUCGCGCCGCGCCCGCUUCACCCGACCACCACCGAGCCGCCCAGCCCAUGGCCGUGACGCCAGAUCCGAGCUCGAGCCGCUGCGGCCAAACCACCAUCGAGCACCACCAGAUCCAGCUGCCGCGCUACCCCAACAGCCACAGAAGCCGGCACACCACUGCCAGGUCCUGGGGCCGCCGCCCCGGCGUCCGCCCGCUGCCGACCGGGCGCCUUGUCCAGGGCCAGCGCGCCACGCCAACAGGGGGUCUCCCCGCUCGAGAGGUAAGGGCCUGCCGCCGCCGGCCGCCGCGUGGGCUUUGCCCGGCGACGUUGCCCAGCGGCGGCGGUAGGGUUCGCCCGAGCCGCCCCCUGGGAGCGACGCGGGCCACUUGCACCAUUUUAGACAUGUACAUUUGA
rnacentral:rRNA from 1 species